AGGAAAUGUAUUUUUAAGUAAAUUGUUUCCCCAAAGGUGGUCUCAUACUAAAUUGGUUUAAGUCCGAUCAUUGGAUCUUGAAGAAAUUAACGAUAAUCUUAAAAUUUUUUUGCGGGAAGUGA